UACAGAGGAGCCAAGCGUUGUCCGGAUUGACUGGGCGUAAAGCGCACGCAGGCGGCACCGCGCGUGGGGUGUGAAAUCUGGCCGCUUAACGGCCAGGCGCCAUCCCAUACGGCGGAGCUGGAGUGAUGCAGAGGUCGGUGGAAUUGCCGGUGUAGUGGUGAAAUGCGUAGAUAUCUGCAGGAACACCCGUGGCGAAAGCGGCGCGCUGGACCACUACUGACGCUGAGGAACGAAAGCUAGGGGAGCAAACAGG
rnacentral:rRNA from 1 species